GACGAACGCUGGCGGCGUGCUUAACACAUGCAAGUCGAACGGAAAGGCCCUGCUUUUGUGGGGUGCUCGAGUGGCGAACGGGUGAGUAACACGUGAGUAACCUGCCCUUGACUUUGGGAUAACUUCAGGAAACUGGGGCUAAUACCGGAUAGGAGCUCCUGCUGCAUGGUGGGGGUUGGAAAGUUUCGGCGGUUGGGGAUGGACUCGCGGCUUAUCAGCUUGUUGGUGGGGUAGUGGCUUACCAAGGCUUUGACGGGUAGCCGGCCUGAGAGGGUGACCGGCCACCUUGGGACUGAGGUACGGCCCAGACUCCUACGGGAGGCAGUAGUGGGGAAUAUUGCACAGUGGGCGGAAGCCUGAUGCAGCAGCGCCGCGUGCGGGAUGACGGCCUUCGGGUUGUAAACCGCUUUCGCCUGUGACGAAGCGUGAGUGACGGUAAUGGGUAAAGAAGCACCGGCUAACUACGUG
rnacentral:rRNA from 1 species